rnacentral:misc_RNA from 1 species
UGCUGUGCCGUGUGCCACGCCCGCGACAUUGUGUACGAAAUCAUUGGUAAUACGAAAAGGAACAAUUAUUCAGUUAAGUAUAUCUAUAUUUUUAUUUUUGUAUUUUUUUCACUAUGCCAAGAGCUCAACGAAAAUCGUUUAAGUUAUUAUCUAAAAGGCAUCAACGUAGAAUUACGUCCAAUCUUUUACAAAAUGUCCGAACUACUGAGUCCCUAUGCAAUGAUUUAUUUACUCCUAUUUCUUCCUCCUCAACUCCUGUUUCUUCCUCCUCAACUCCUGUUAGCCUUAUUGCUUCCUCAUCAACUCCUCUCAGUCCUAAUGCUUCUUCUAUCCAAACGUCAGUUUAUUCAGAAAUAAAUCAGAUACCAAAUAAUUCUACAGUUUCAUCCACAUCUAAUUGUUUACUAUAUUCCCUCCCAAACAAUAAUUCUCAAAUUGUUUCUUCUUCAAAUUUAGAAGGUGCUGUUUAUGUUGGUGCUAACAUUCAUAGUUUUCUACCAAGUAGUCGGCCAAUUAUUGAAAACCAAACUUUUUUAGUUGGAUUACGUUCAUGGGCUAAUAAUUCAUUAAUAAGUAGAGUUCAUUUAAAUAAAUUACUUAGACUGUUAAUUUCUCAUGGACAUACAGAUCUUCCUACAGAUGCUCGUUCAUUACUUCAUACUCCUAGAGACAAAAAUAUUAUUUUUGUAGAUCCUGGUUACUAUUUUCAUUUUGGUUUGGAGUCUAUGUUGAUUCAUUCUAUUAACACAUCAUAUAAACAUGAUAAAAUUCCUCCAGUAAUAGAACUUAAAAUUAAUGUAGAUGGACUACGUAUUUCCAAGAGUUCUGGGAGUCAAUUCUGGCCCAUACUUGGCCAAAUACAUUCUGUGGGUAAAUACAUGGAGCCCUUUACUAUUGGUAUAUAUCACGGUAUGUCAAAACCAAAAGAUCAUAAUACAUUUCUUGAGUUAUUUGUAGAAGAUCUCAAGAGAAUUUCAAAAAAUGGUGUGACUAUUAUGAAUACUAAUUAUCAAGUGAGGCUUAAACCAGUAAUUUGUGAUGCACCAGCUCGUGCCUUUAUUACAGGGGUAAAAAGUCAUACAGGGUAUUUUGGUUGCCAUAAGUGCAUCCAAGAGGGUGAGUACAAUGAACAUCGUAUGACAUUUCCAGAGACAAAUGCACUUUCCCGAACUGAUCAGAGUUUCCGCAGUCGUCUACAUGAGGACCAUCAUAGAUGCUAUUUAAUUUUAGAAUCUCUUGAAAUUGGAAUGGUGUCACAAUUUCCCCAUGAUUAUCUUCAUUUGAUUUGCCUUGGUGUUGUAAAAAAACUUUUGCUGUUUUGGACAAAGGGUAACAAAUCUGUUAGAAUGAACCCAGCUCAAAUCCAAAUGGUUUCAAAUAUGUUAAGUUCAUUUUCAUCUUUCAUUUGUAGUGAAUUUUCCAGAAAACCUCGUAAUCUUUCUGAAGUUGACAGAUGGAAAGGAACUGAGUUCCGUACUUUUCUACUGUAUACAGGACCUAUAGUUUUGAAAGAUAACCUAUCGUAUGACAAAUAUGUGCAUUUCCUAAGUUUACAUGUUGCAGUUCGUAUAUUAAUUAGUAGAAAAUGUCAUCUGAAACUUAUUGAUUAUGCUCAGUCUUUGCUAGAAUAUUUUGUUAAAAACUUUAGGGUUUUAUACGGAGCUGAAAUAGUGUACAACAUUCAUAAUUUAGUACAUAUUUGUGAAGAUGUCAAAAAACAUGGCGUUCUUGAUGAUUUUAGCGCCUUUGCAUUUGAAAAUUAUUUAGGAAAAAUUAAAUUCAAGACUAAAUCUGCUAAUAGGCCUUUAGAGCAAAUAAUUAAUCGCAUAACUGAAAGCAAUGCUGAAAAUCAAUUUUGUGAAAAAAAGUACCCUUUAUUAAAAGUUUCAAAGUCUGGUGUAACAUCUCUUCAAGUGUCUUCUGAAUUAUUUUUAAGUAAUCAAUGUCCAAACAAUAUUUGCCUCUUGAAAAAUUCCAAAAUAUUGAUUGUAAAUUCUUUGGAUCUGAAAAAUGAUAAAAUAACACUAAAAGGGAAAGAGUUUAAUUCCAUUGGACCAUUAUUUAAAAAGCCACAAGCUGAUAAUUCCAUAAACAUAUUUAUAGUCAAUACCAACUCAAUAUCCACUGAAACUGAAGUUCAUAUAUCUUCAGUAGAAGCUAAGUGUGUUAAGUUACCAAUUGAUGCAACUGAAAGUGCUGUUGUCCCUAUAAUCCAUUCAUGUGCAAACAGCUCAGGCUAUUACUAGCACUUAGUUAAUCGUGCAUUGGGGCCACAGUGAUUAUUUUGCUUUGGUUUGAUACAAAAUAAAAUCUGUUUUUUUUUUACUCCUAUAACCAUGUAGUGUCUCAGUUUAUACAGAGCACAGCUAAAUUACAAAACAAAUUUUUUAUCAAUAUUUAAGUAUUUUCAUUUAAAACAAGUAUGAUAUCUGGAAAAUUGUUUUUUAGUUAUUGAAAAAUGUCAUACACCGUAGUGCGAUUCCUAGAGGAAAACGAAGAGGAGGAAAUAAUAUCUGAGGUUCCUUCCUCUUGGAUAGAAAGUAAAUAUUGUUGGUGGCCUUCCUCAAAAAUGUUAGCAUAUUAAUAAGCAAGGGGGCAUGUCCAGAUAAAAAUAAAUGGAAAAAAUAUCCUGUGGCUGUAUUAGGUGUUGUUGAUGAUUAUCAGAAAGCCAGAUGGAAAGCAGAUCAUAUUGAAUCUGAUGACACUUCUUCAUCAGAAAAAGGGAGAGGGAAACGCAAAAAGAAGAUCAAGCAUAUUGAAGAAAAUGGUGAUUCCACAUCAGAUUAUGAUGACAUUAAAGAAAAAGUCUUGUCCAAGUUGCCAGAAUAUCCCAGUAAUGAAAGUACUAAAUCAGAAAUAAUCUUGGAAGAGGAAUCAGAUAAUGAUGAGAAUGUGGGGUCUAAUCAGGAUGUGGAUAAUGAUGAUGAGCAAUGGGAUAAUCGUGAUAAGCAUUCAGAAAAUGGGAACUCCAUUCAAUUGCUU